UUUUUUCCAAAUAUUACAAAAAGAACAUAAGUAAUAAACAUUUCUCUACUUCCUGGAUAUGUAAUACGAGCUCCUAGAUAUCAAACCAAAUCGAAUGAAAGACGAUAACGCUAUCUGGAUGAAUUUUCUUGAAUUAUUCUCUAAUCUAAAAUGACAAUAAGUCAUCCUCUCUAGGAUCCACAUCAUCCCGCCAUAUUGAAGUCACUGAAAAUGUUUACUUCUUUUUGUAAAUAUAAAUAAUUAACACAAAAGUAAAUAAAAUAGUCGAUAAUCGUUCCGAUCUUAUAACUUUUAAAUGGAGAAGACGCGGGAUAUAAUUUGACCUAACAGAAUAAGAGCGCAUGCACUGACCACGUGCACGUGCAUGCGAGUGACCACCUGCAGCAAAAGGAUCAUUAUCGCGAACUUAAGUAUGCAUUGUGUCGCUAGCGCGUAUAUACAUGACAUAUAUGUAUAUAUGUGUAUAUAUAUAUAUAUACAUAUAGAUACAAUAUAUAGAUACAUAGGUAUAUGUGCACGUGCAGAAAACAUUCUCGCGUACACAAAUGCAAUGUAAUUAUCGUCUGACGGCUUCCAAAGAAAACGAAGCGAAAUAUGCCAGCCGAGGAUGUUGUUUAGAAUCAGAAAUAGAGGCCACUGUGUUCACAAACUUACAAAGAGAUUCGAUUUGAUGUAGCUAAGCGGCUGAUUUCCCAACAGAUUAAUCUCUUUUAUGUUCUUUUUUUACUUUUACUAUUUAUCGUGUGUACGGUAUACAUUUAUAUACACACAAGAUC